AUACGGAGGGUGCAAGCGUUACUCGGAAUCACUGGGCGUAAAGCGCGCGCAGGCGGCCAUUUAAGUUGGAUGUGAAAGCCUACGGCUCAACCGUAGAACUGCAUCCAAAACUAUUUGGCUAGAGUGUGGGAGGGGAAGAUGGAAUUAGUUGUGUAGGGGUAAAAUCCGUAGAGAUAACUAGGAAUACCAAAAGCGAAGGCAAUCUUCUGGAACAUUACUGACGCUGAGGCGCGAAAGCGUGGGGAGCAAACAGGAUUAGAUACCCCAGUAGUCC
rnacentral:rRNA from 1 species